GCUUAAUACAUGCNAGUCAGAGGGGCAGCACAGAUAGCAAUAUCGGGGGCGACCGGCAAACGGGUGCGGAACACGUACACAACCUUCCUUUAAGCGGGGAAUAGCCCACGAGAAAUUUGGAUUAAUACCCCAUAGUAUAUUGGUCUGGCAUCAGAUUGAUAUUAAAGAUUUAUCACUUAAAGAUGGGUGUGCGUUCGAUUAGGUAGUUGGCGGGGUAACGGCCCACCAAGCCUUCGAUCGAUAGCUGAUGUGAGAGCAUGAUCAGCCACACGGGCACUGAGACACGGGCCCGACUCCUACGGGAGGCAGCAGUAAGGAAUAUUGGUCAAUGGACGCAAGUCUGAACCAGCCAUGCCGCGUGGAGGAUGAAGGUCCUCUGGAUUGUAAACUUCUUUUAUGUGGGACGAAACAUGGGUUUUCCAACUCACUUGACGGUACCAUAUGAAUAAGCACCGGCUAACUCCGUGCCAGCAGCCGCGGUAAUACGGAGGGUGCAAGCGUUAUCCGGAUUCACUG
rnacentral:rRNA from 1 species